rnacentral:rRNA from 1 species
UACGGAGGGGCUAGCGUUGUUCGGAAUUACUGGGCGUAAAGCGCACGUAGGCGGCUUUGUAAGUUAGAGGUGAAGCCCGGGGCUCAACUCCGGAAUUGCCUUUAAGACUGCAUCGCUAGAAUUGUGGAGAGGUAAGUGGAAUUCCGAGUGUAGAGGUGAAAUUCGUAGAUAUUCGGAAGAACACCAGUGGCGAAGGCGACUCAACUG